rnacentral:rRNA from 1 species
UACAGAGGGUGCAAGCGUUAAUCGGAGUUACUGGGCGUAAAGGGCGCGUAGGCGGUUAUAUAAGUGAGAUGUGAAAUCCCUGGGCUCAACCUAGGAACUGCAUCUUAUACUGUAUGACUGGAGUAUUGUAGAGGGUAGUGGAAUUUCCGGUGUAGCGGUGAAAUGCGUAGAGAUCGGAAGGAACCCCAGUGGCGAAGGCGGGUCUCUGGACAGUUCCUGACACUGAGACACGAAGGCCAGGGGAGCAAACGGG